rnacentral:rRNA from 1 species
ACGGAAGGCAGCAGUGGGGAAUAUUGCACAAUGGGCGAAAGCCUGAUGCAGCGACGCCGCGUGAGUGAAGAAGUAUCUCGGUAUGUAAAGCUCUAUCAGCAGGGAAGAAAAUGACGGUACCUGACUAAGAAGCCCCGGCUAACUACGUGCCAGCAGCCGCGGUAAUACGUAGGGGGCAAGCGUUAUCCGGAUUUACUGGGUGUAAAGGGAGCGUAGACGGUUUGGCAAGUCUGAAGUGAAAUGCGGGGGCUCAACUCCUGAACUGCUUUGGAAACUGUCGAACUAGAGUGCAGGAGAGGUAAGUGGAAUUCCUAGUGUAGCGGUGAAAUGCGUAGAUAUUAGGAGGAACACCAGUGGCGAAGGCGGCUUACUGGACUGUAACUGACGUUGAGGCCCGAAAGCGUGGGGAGCAAACAGGAUUAGAUACCCUGGUA